rnacentral:rRNA from 1 species
GACGGAGGAUGCAAGCGUUAUCCGGAAUGAUUGGGCGUAAAGCGUCCGCAGGUGGCAGUUCAAGUCUGCUGUCAAAGACCGGGGCUUAACUUCGGAAAGGCAGUGGAAACUGAACAGCUAGAGUAUGGUAGGGGCAGAGGGAAUUCCUGGUGUAGCGGUGAAAUGCGUAGAGAUCAGGAAGAACAUCGGUGGCGAAGGCGCUCUGCUGGACCAUAACUGACGCUGAGGCACGAAAGCGUGGGUAGCAAACAGG